GGCGUUGGAGAAUAUUGGCUCUGAGCAGCAAGAACUGACUCCAUCAUGGCAUUCAGGCGGGCGAUCUCGUCCUUCAGCUCUCUGUUCUCUUUCUCUAGAUGCUCCAUAAUUUUGAGAUGAUUGGCGUGAGUGUUGUAUCGAUGAGUCAGCUUGGCUAAAGCACAGAAGAAACACCAAUGAGACAUCUGGUGAAAGAGAAACCCGUUUAUGCAC
rnacentral:lncRNA from 1 species